rnacentral:rRNA from 1 species
UACAGAGACUGCAAGCGUUAUUCGGAUUCACUGGGCGUAAAGGGUGCGCGGGCGGUCGGGUGUGUCAGAUGUGAAAUCCCGAGACUCAACCUCGGAACUGCGUCUGAAACUACUCGACUAGAGUACUGGAGAGGGUAACGGAAUUCACGGUGUAGCAGUGAAAUGCGUAGAUAUCGUGAGGAACACCAGAGGCGAAGGCGGUUACCUGGACAGUUACUGACGCUCAGGCACGAAAGCAUGGGGAGCAAAAGGG